AGUGAACGCUGGCGGUAGGCCUAACACAUGCAAGUCGAACGGCAGCACAGUAAGAGCUUGCUCUUACGGGUGGCGAGUGGCGGGCGGGUGAGGAAUACAUCGGAAUCUACUUUUUCGUGGGGGAUAACGUAGGGAAACUUACGCUAAUACCGCAUACGACCUACGGGUGAAAGCAGGGGAUCUUCGGACCUUGCGCGAUUGAAUGAGCCGAUGUCGGAUUAGCUAGUUGGCGGGGUAAAGGCCCACCAAGGCGACGAUCCGUAGCUGGUCUGAGAGGAUGAUCAGCCACACUGGAACUGAGACACGGUCCAGACUCCUACGGGAGGCAGCAGUGGGGAAUAUUGGACAAUGGGCGCAAGCCUGAUCCAGCCAUACCGCGUGGGUGAAGAAGGCCUUCGGGUUGUAAAGCCCUUUUGUUGGGAAGGAAAAGCAGCAGGUUAAUACCCCGCUGUUCUGACGGUACCCAAAGAAUAAGCACCGGCUAACUUCGUG
rnacentral:rRNA from 1 species